rnacentral:rRNA from 1 species
GCUGAGCCCUAAACAUUGGUAGUGUAAACAUCUUACUAUAUUACCCGCCAGAGAACUACUAGUGAAAAACUUGAAACUCAAAGGACUUGGCGGUGUUCCACUUCGACCUAGAGGAGCCUGUCCUAUAAUCGAUAAUCCUCGUUAAACCCAACCCCAACUUGCACAUUCAGCCUAUAUACCGCCGUCGACAGUCUACCCCAUGAGGGUCCAAUAGUAGACACAAUAGUUACCACCACUAACACGUCAGGUCAAGGUGUAGCGGAUGUUGGGGAAAGUGAUUGGCUACAUUUUUUUUUAAAAAAUAAACGAAAUGCAACAUGAAAUCCUGCAUGAAGGUGAAUUUAGCAGUAAGAUAAAUGAGAGUGUUUAUCUUAACAUCGCUCUGGAACGCGC